GCUGCAUGGCUGUCGUCAGCUCCGUGUCGUGAGAUGUUGGGUUAAGUCCCGCAACGAGCGCAACCCUUGCCUUUAGUUGCCAGCAGUUCGGCUGGGCACUCUAAAGGGACUGCCGGUGUUAAACCGGAGGAAGGUGGGGAUGACGUCAAGUCCUCAUGGCCUUUAUGACCAGGGCUACACACGUACUACAAUGGCCGAUACAAAGGGCAGCGACACUGCGAGGUGAAGCCAAUCCCGUAAAAUCGGUCUCAGUCCGGAUUGGAGUCUGCAACUCGACUCCAUGAAGUUGGAAUCGCUAGUAAUCGUGGAUCAGCAUGCCACGGUGAAUACGUUCCCGGGCCUU
rnacentral:rRNA from 1 species